UGGGGCUACACACGUCAUACAAUGGCUGGUACAAAGGGUUGCAACCCGCGAGGGGGAGCCAAUCCCAUAAAGCCAGUCGUAGUCCGGAUCGUAGUCUGCAACUCGACUACGUGAAGUCGGAAUCGCUAGUAAUCGUGGAUCAGAAUGUCACGGUGAAUACGUUCCCGGGUCUU
rnacentral:rRNA from 1 species